rnacentral:rRNA from 1 species
GCGAGAAAACUUUGCAAUGUGCGAAAGCACGACAAGGUUAAUCCGAGUGGUUUCUGCUAAAGAAACCUUUUGUCAGUCCUAGAAACACUAACGAAUAAGGGGUGGGCAAGUUCUGGUGUCAGCCGCCGCGGUAAAACCAGCACCUCAAGUGGUCAGGAUGAUUAUUGGGCCUAAAGCAUCCGUAGCUCGUUUUGUAAGUUUUCGGUUAAAUCCAUGCGCUUAACGUAUGGGCUGCCGGGAAUACUGCAUAACUAGGAAGUGGGAGAGGUAGACGGUACUCGGUAGGAAGGGGUAAAAUCCUUUGAUCUAUUGAUGACCACCUGUGGCGAAGGCGGUCUACCAGAACACGUUCGACGGUGAGGGAUGAAAGCUGGGGGAGCAAACCGGAUUAGAUACCCAUGUAGUCCCUGAGCGGGCUGGCAAGGCGCAU